ACUCCUGCAAGAGAAAAGGGGUUCAGGGGGAGAGGAGACAAGGGUAGAAAGGGUGAGCUCUGAGGGGCUCCCUGGCCAACGUACCAGGAUAGAAAUGUCCCUUUCCCUCUUCCCAGAAUCCUUCUUCAGUAUGUGUCACCCCUUCCCAUUGGAAUAUAAGCUCCUGGAGGGUGGGCUUGUUUGUGUCUGUACCCCCACCCUUUAGCACAGUGCUGGGCACAUAGUGGGUGCUCAAUAAAUGUUUGCUCUCCUUUUCUCUCUCUCUCAUCGAUCGUGUCUUCCUGCCCAUCUACCUGUCCACCUUACUCAUCUCUCAGGAACUCCCAUCCAUCAAAGGAAGAUGAAGCCUUCUGAAGGGUAUGGAGGAUCUGUUUAUCCUCAUCUGGUGGCCGGCUUUUUGGGCGAUUAUCGCCUUAAGCCUGGGGAGCUGAUAAGAACUCAGAACUUGGAAUUCUGACAAGGCCAAGCCCGAAGGCUGGAUCCACAGAGACACCCUCAUUUGUCCGUGCCCAGCCCCUCCGGCCACCCCUCUCCGAGGAGGUACAGGAUCAAGAACUCUGGAUUGGACUAGGGAAGAACGGGGUUCGAGUCUCAAUUCUACCUGCUGCUCCCUGGGUGAUUUGGGACAAGUCACCUCCCUGCUCUCAGUCUUGGCUUCUUGUCUGUAAAAUGGGCCAGAUGCCUCGGAGGUCCCUUAGCUGUGGCUCUGUGAUCCCCCCCCCCGUACCCCUCUCCACUGGGCAGUGGCUAUCUUGAUACAGGCAUAAUGGCAGCAGGAAUUAGCCGGUCCCCAGGAGGCCAGGCCUUGCUAACAAACCCCUAUUUCUGAGAGGCGUCAGUGCAUUUUAGGCCUCCGUUCACCAUCCCUGUAACUCUCCAAACCGAGACACCACAACUGCCUUCCCUGAUGUAGAAUGGAAGCCUCUUGAGGGCAGGGACUGCCUUCGGGUUGACACACGUAUCCCCCGUCUUUAGAAACAAGAGCCAGGGAGGGCCUGAUCGAAGCUUUCUCAUUCCUGAAUUGUUCAUGGCAAAGGCCGCAGGCUGUAGCCCAGAUUCGUGGCUGCCUGGAGCCUCAGGAGUCACCUCGUCCACUACCUUCCUUUUGUAGGGGAGGAAGCUAAAGCCCAGAGAUAGGGAAGUCCCGAGUCCCGCAGGCGAUGCUCGGGAACCGGGCUGGUACGGACGCUCCAGGCUCUCAGACUUGAGAUCCAGAGUUCUUUCCUCUACACAUCCUGGUUUUCCCCAUGUAGGAGUCCUUAGUGUUGUUUAAAAUACCUGCAGAUACUUAGGAAUCUAUCUCCAGAGACAAACACAGGAACUAUAUGAACACAACUACAAAACACUCUCCACACAACUAAAACUAGACUUGAACAAUUGGAAAAACACUAACUGCUCAUGGAUAGGACGAGCCAAUAUAAUAAAAAUGACCCUCCUACCCAAA